CCUACGGGGGGCAGCAGUGAGGAAUAUUGGUCAAUGGGCGAGAGCCUGAACCAGCCAAGUCGCGUGAAGGAUGAAGGAUCUAUGGUUUGUAAACUUCUUUUAUAUGGGAAUAAAAUGUUCCACGUGUGGGAUUUUGUAUGUACCAUAUGAAUAAGGAUCGGCUAACUCCGUGCCAGCAGCCGCGGUAAUACGGAGGAUCCGAGCGUUAUCCGGAUUUAUUGGGUUUAAAGGGAGCGUAGGUGGAUUGUUAAGUCAGUUGUGAAAGUUUGCGGCUCAACCGUAAAAUUGCAGUUGAAACUGGCAGUCUUGAGUACAGUAGAGGUGGGCGGAAUUCGUGGUGUAGCGGUGAAAUGCUUAGAUAUCACGAAGAACUCCGAUUGCGAAGGCAGCUCACUGGACUGCAACUGACACUGAGGCUCGAAAGUGUGGGUAUCAAACAGGAUUAGAUACCCCAGUAGUC
rnacentral:rRNA from 1 species